ACCGAAUACAUUAGGCAUGGGAUAAUGGAACUAGGACCCUGUCCUCCUAUUUUCAGUUGGUUUUGGCAGCGCGAGGACUAGGGUAAUGAUUAAUAGGGAUAGUUGGGGGCAUUAAUAUUUAAUAUGUCAGAGGUGAAAUUCUUGGAUUUAUGAAAGAUUAACUUCUGCGAAAGCAUCUGCCAAGGAUGUUUUCAUUAAUCAAGAACGAAAGUUAGGGGAUCGAAGACGAUCAGAUACCGUCGUAGUCUUAACCAUAAACGAUGCCGACCAGCGAUUAGGAGACGUUGAAUACAAAACACCACCAUCG
rnacentral:rRNA from 1 species